UACAGAGGGGGCUAGCGUUAUUCGGAAUUAUUGGGCGUAAAGGGCGCGUAGGCGGCCAUGCGUGUCUUCCGUGAAAUCCCUCGGCUUAACUGAGGACGUGCGGAAGAAAACUGCAAGGGCUCGAGUCCGGGAGAGGGGGGUGGAAUUCCCAGUGUAGCGGUGAAAUGCGUAGAUAUUGGGAGGAACACCGGUGGCGAAGGCGGCCCCCUGGACCGGUACUGACGCUGAGGCGCGAAAAGCGUGGGUAGCAAACGGG
rnacentral:rRNA from 1 species